rnacentral:rRNA from 1 species
GUUUGACCGGCACGUAGACCCCGCACGCGUCUUCAACCUUCGCUCGAACUCCCCUUCCUGUACGACAACGCCGCCACGCCCAGAUCGGUCUCCGGCGAUUCGUGUGACCCCGAACCCGUCGCGCCAAUCCAUGGGCAUCUAGCGAUCCUGCUUCUUCCUCUCGUCCGAUUCCCACAUCCAUCCUUCGGAUCCUUGUUCGAGAUCAACCACAUGGACCUCUCCGAGCUCCGCUACCCGAAGCUCCAUCGAUCGUCGAUUCCGUCACCACCAGCGUACAGGAGCGAACACACCGACCUCCGCCUGAACAGAACACCGCCGCCCGAGCCUCCCUCCACGGCCAAUUCCGGCGAGAGAGCUCAGAUUCGAGCUAUCCCACCCACACCAAAGAUCGUUGCUGCCGCCGUUGCUCUAGCUGAAUAGAGCGACGCUACCUGAAACUCGCUGUCGCCGCCUCCUGUUCAUCUGCUCGUGCGGUCGUUGCAGGACCCACCAGAGAACUCACGACGAAUACCCUAAGUCCGUCGUGCCGCGCUUCAUCCGUGCUAUUCCCGAAGUCGUCCCCAAUUUUCCUCCGCAGAGACGAGGGCACGGAUUCGAUUAAGCUCCGCCACCGAGCACCCUUCGUCGCUUGAUUCUGAUGACUAUUGAUACCGGAGCAAGCUACCGACACACCCUCGAUCCCAUCGGAGUUUGGCGGCACCACCGAGCGACGACGCCACCAACAGAGGGCACUUCCUUCGCCGUUUUACGCCACCAUCACCACCCCCGUCGAACACCGCACCCACAAUGCCGCCUCAACUUCGCCGGAGGACCACCGGAGUAGUGCCGCCGCCCCCGCCCGUAGUGCCGCUGUCGUCCGUUGGCUCACGAUUGCUCGGAGCGUGACGAGUAGAAUUGUCAGGAAUUGUGAGUGCGACGAUCUUCAUCAAAUAUACCAGAUUUUAUACGACGAGUGAGUGAUACGAUGUAGGUUAUGAUGUCUAUACUCGACAUUUGCCUGUGGUGUUGAUGGACUUCAUGGAGAUUUUAUUUGCUUUUCUGCUGCAUUUUGUUUGUAUGCUAGCUUGAGCAAUGCAGGUAUGUAUUAUAUUAAAUUCUGGAUCUACGAUGUAAUAUUAUGACAUGUGGUUUAUUCUUGAUAUUACAUCUUGUACUGUGUGUCCUAGCUAUUGAUCCAGGGACUAGCACAGUGAGCACAGAGACAUCGAAUCUUAUCAGGUUCGGAGUCGUUACACGCAUAUCACACACAUCAUGUUAAGAUGAACCGUUUCCGUUCUCUUACCUAAUCGAAAACAGAUUGUCUGAGUGAACUGUAUGUCGUAUGUCACACACACCUUGAUCUGGCUGAUUGUUUCUAUUGCAUUCCCAAAUUGCACAAAGUUCAUCGGAGGGAACUGUAUGCCGUAUAUCGCACACACAUUGAUAUGGCUGCCCGUUUCUGUUGUUCUUCCUCAUCGCCAACAGUUCUGCUGGAUCAACCGUAUGCCCUGCAUUGCAC